AUCAUGUUCCCGCGGCAGAAAGUCAACACAGAACCGCGUCGUCCGACUCCCCAGGCACAAGUUCUCUCGACUUCCAGACCUGAAGCAUAUCGAAGCCUCAACGACCAGAGCGAGAGCUUCGGCUUGAAUAGGCGGAGGAAGCAGCGAUCUUCUUUCUCGCGAAUCCACCGAGCAGUACACCCGAGGCCAUCGUGAAGAACAACUGCAGUCGCUCCCUCCGAACCGCCGGCUUCAAAGGACUGGUUUUCGGCAGGCACCAACAGCAGGGUUCCUGGGUUUGGUGGGGCAGUCUUCGCUCGGAACACGAGGGUCGUUUCUGGGAUCUCCAGAUAUACCGGAGAAAAGCUGGGAUUUUAUCGAGAGAUACGUCUUUCCAAACCAAGCCGGCCCGGGUCGAGGCGCGAAGGUGAUCCUCGGGAUCGCAUUGCCUUUCGGGACUCGAACGCAACUCAAUCUCCUUGGAGGCGACUUCUUCUCAAACACUGAAACCCAUCACAGUGAUUUCAUCUCUGAAUCAUUCCUCGAGGUAAGCACGAUGUUCAUUCUCGAUCUAUUACAAUUGAUAGGAUGAAAAUACAUUUGAUUAUUACUCAUUGCUUAAUGCCUAACAUCCUCUACGGCAUACAGAAUGAUACAUGUGAAAUUCCCUUGAUACAAAAAGCCCGCUCGAUUAAAUUUACGAAAAUACCCUUCUAGACCCGAUUUGGGGUCUAUUGGCCCUAUAUGCACCCCAAUUGUCCAAAAUUGCUUCUUUUUCUUUUUAAUGGUCGGAGCCAAAAUUACUUGAAGUCCGAGACAUCCAAAAUACUCAAUUUUUGCAGAAAUGAAUUUUUUUCUUGAAAACAUUAAAAACUAUAUUUUUUCCAAAUAUCGAUUGUGCUUCUCUUCAAUAAUCGCACAAAACCUUUCAAAGGCUACGGAUCAGAAUUGUCAACAACAAAAAUUUAUCUGAACAAAUCAGAUAAACUUGAGAAUUUUUGGAUGUCCAUAAAACUAUUUUCCAUUAUAUUGGCAAUUUUUGUAAUUUCUAGAAAAUGAUAGAAAAUUCAAAUGUUUUCCGGAAAUUAUGAAAAAUUCACAAUUGCACUAUUUUUUUUUUUUUUUGUGUUGGUUACAAUGGAAAACUUGAAAGUGAGCAAAGCUGCGGGUUUCAGUGCACUUACACAUAUUAUUUAAUACGUGGACAAUAUUUAGGUGGAAUUUUAUCUUUGCGGAUUGAAUUGGAGAAACUCAUCAUAAAGUGUGGAUUUCAUGCAAUUUAAUUGCUUACAACAAAGACAUGACUUUUACAUAUAUAUAGCGUAGAAAGUUACUGACCUACGAUGAAUUUGACAAUAUGAUUUAUGAAUGUUUAGGGUGGGAGGGAAUGUAGUAUUUACAAGAGUAAGGGUGCAUUUGGUUUGGGAGUGGCUUUGCCAAGCCACUUUGGGCAUCCAAAGUCCUUUGGGCUAGAAAAUGGUGUUUGGGAGCUUCUUUUGUAAACAUACUUGGGGAAAAGUGAGCCUUUGGAAGGCUGAAAGCCCAAGGCAGCCAUUGCGUGAUAUAAUUCGAAAUGUUAACGUGUGAUUAUAUGUGACAAAGGUGACAUCAUGAUGAUUUGGAAGUGAUAAUGUGUACCGAGCGGUGGUUGUUUAUGGUAAGGAUUGCGGUUUGAAAAUGAUGACGAAUGAAUAUUUGAUUUCACUUGUUGAUAAAAGAAAAAUCUGAAAAGGAUUAUAUGGUAUUAUUUGCAAAUGUGAUUAUUGAAAUAUACAUGGCAAUUGUGUUGUUGUGAUAAAUUGUAUGUUAAUGAUGCCAUGUGAUGAAGACUUUUGUCACAACUUGUUCGCUAGAGAGUGGACUUCCUUAUAUGAGAUUACGUGUAAGUUUCUAGAAAAAGAUACAUAUUCUACCGCCUAAAGGCCUGGGGGAAGGGAGGCUCUACAAGGUUGAAAGAACAUGAAGUCGUAUUAUGAUAUAGCUUGUAUAGCCUAAUAUGGCUUAUGUAGUAUGUGAUUUAAAAAUUAUGAAAUAGUCAUCAUCAUGCUGUCACACAGUGGUAUAUUUAUCCUCACAUAAAGGACACUUUGAUGGAUAGGCUGAGUGGCAUGGCAAAGAAGUAUUCAUGAUUCCGUCUCCCAUGUAUAGAUAGUGAUGAUGCAAUGUUAGUUGAGAUGAGUCCUAAUCAGUGACGACUAGAAAAUAAAUACUCACUUGUGUAUAUCGAUGAGUUAUUAUGUGGCAUUUGUGUAUCAUGAGAUUUGUAUGUUCAUCUAUGUGUGUUUGAAAGUCGUAGUGAAUGUUAACACAUGGCAUAUGUUUUAUUUAUUUUAACAUUAUUUUACUAAUCUAUUUAUAAUGCAUGAUUUAGAUCUUAAAUGAAUUUAUGACGUGAUGUGUGCUCACAGUCAUAGAUGAGAUGGUUUACAUGUUGUAUAAGGAUUGGAUUACAAGUACUUGGAUCAUAUAAAAUAGAUGUUGCAUCCCUAGAGUAAACAAAAUAUUCUGUUAUGAAAGAAAUACGAAUUAAUACAUGUCCUGCAUUCCAACCAAAUCAGUAAUUGUCAUCUCCUGAAUUACAGUAAUUUAUCCAAAUAAUAUGCAAUACCUUAUUGAGUGUUAUUAUGUAGUUGCGCUCCCCAGAUCGAGUGGUAAGAUGAUCUUUCACCUUAACCCUAGAUGGUUCACACCAUUAUUUUUAUAGAUCUCUAGGGUUUGAUUUACCCGCCGUUGUGGAAAAUCACUAUUUAUAAGGUGUUGAAGGACCUUUAGAUUAUUGCUUUGGAACGUGUCCCGGAGGAGUGGAUUAUGGUCCACAACAAAGGUAGGGCCGUACUUCAGUACUAUAAGUAGUUGAAGUUAAAAUUGCUUUUAUACAUGAGGAUAAUUAGUUAAUCAUUAGAGAGUUGCAAUGAAGGUAAAUUAUUUAUAUAUUCGAGACUCAAAUUGGUAUGGAGAUUUGAGGUGUGAUAUCUGCCAAGGGUUUUUUGCAAGUAUUCCAUGAAAAGGUUUCGAAUUUAUCUAAAAAAUAGCCUUAACACACAUAAACGUAAGUUAACCCUCUUGAAUUUUGGAAUCAGGAAUGACAUUAUCCAUUUUCGUGACAAUUAGAUGGCCCAAAUAUUAACCCAUUUUCUUGUAGAGGCUAGCGAAACGAUGACUCUGAUAGGGCCACCUAAUCUUCUGCAGUGAACGACGUCAGCUUACUUAAGCUUACUUAACUGAAGGCCUUGUCUUCAUUACCUAUCUCUUUCUCAAGAACACGAACCUUCUUCAGCAUUGCCUCAGGGAGAAAUUAAGGUACACGUUAUUCGGAUUGGAAAGCCAACAAGCUUGACUUGACUGGAGGGUGAGGUCCAAAAGAAGAUAAAAGCAAGGACUACAAGCAAUUGCAGAAAAAGCAUCCUAAAAGCAUCAUUCGUUGUUCAGCAGUCCUUUUAAGUAGCAGAAAAAGCAUCUUUGGUUUCAACUUUCCCCCUCUCUGAUCGCGAUGGACAAAGGCAGAGUAAGAGAAAGAGAGCAGAGGAAGAGAGCAUUGAGAGAGCAUCCACUUCUUCAUCCAUCUCUCCAGAAGCCAUAGGCAUAGGUAGCGGUCAAUAUGAUGUGUUCUUGAGCUUUAGAGGCCCGGAUACUCGUAAUGCAUUCACCGAUUGCCUCUAUCACAGUCUGGUCAAGGCAGGGACAGUACCAAUUCAGGUGUUCAGGGACGAUAACAACAUCCCAAUUGGUGAGGAAUUUGGUUCAGAGAUUUUCGAUGCCAUCGCACAGUCUAAGAUUUCGAUCCCCAUCAUAUCCGAGAAUUAUGCUUCGAGUAAAUGGUGCCUCCGCGAGCUCAUUCAUAUCAUGAACCGCAAGAAGAGCACGUCACACAUAGUCUUGCCCAUUUUUUACAAAGUUUCCGCAACAGAUGUGCGGCAUCUAACAGGAAAGUUUGGAGAUGCCUUCUGUUGGAGUCAAAGUGUUUUGAUGAGAAGGAUAUCCAGCAAGGGCAACAAGCACUUAAUGAAGUCAGUUAUUUAAAUGGAUGGGAAUCUGAGAAAAUUGCCAAUGGGCAUGAGGGAAAAUUGAUAGAACUUGUGGUCAAAACUGUUCUAAGCAAGUUACAGAAAGAUUUUCAGCUAGUUGUUCCCUAGCAGCUAGUUGGACUUGAUGGUCAACUGAAGAAAAUCAUGGAUUGGAUUCACAGUCCUUCCGUCAAUGCUCGAAUGAUUGGAAUUUAUGGCAUGGGCGGGAUAGGCAAGACAACACUCGCCAAGUGUGUCCACAAUAAAGUCUUGGAUAAAUUUGUGGAAGCCAGCUUCCUUCCAGAUAUAAGAGAAAAAGCUACCCAGCACCACGGUAUUGAGAAUCUACAAAGGCAACUAAUAUCUGAUAUAUUACAUAGCAAAAUUGAUGUGCCUAGAAUUGAUGAUGGAAUUAAUAUAAUCAAAUCUAGAUUCAAAGAAAAAAAGGUUCUCAUUCUUUUGGAUGAUAUAGAUAAUAAGAAACAACUAGAUGUGUUGGCUGGGGAACGUAAUUGGUUUAUGGCAGGAAGUAUGAUCAUUGUUACCACUAGAAAUCAAGCCAUUCUUGAUCAAUGUGGAUUUGAGGUAGACUACAAGUAUGAAUUGAAGGAAAUGGAUGAGGUGCAUUCUCUGCUUUUAUUUAACAGACAUGCAUUUCAUAUGGACCAUUCUCCAAGGGAUUUUGAGGGUAUAUCUCAUGAUAUCAUAUCCACCAUGGGUGGGCUUCCUUUGGCACUUGAGGUCGUAGGGUCAUACUUGUAUAAAAAAACAAAUAAAAAAGUAUGGGAAGAUGUGCGGAAGCAAUUAAAAGACCUUUCACACUUAAAAACCAACCAUAUGGAGAUGUUCAAAAGAUAUUACAGAUAAGUUAUGAUGCACUAGAUGAUGGACAAAAGCAGAUUUUUCUAGAUAUUGCUUGUUUCCUAAUUGGCAAAAAAGCAAAUAUGCCAUCUACAUGUGGGAGGACUGUGGGCUUUAUCCAAAUCGAGGAAUUGAAGAGUUGAAAUUGAGGUGCUUAAUUAAAAUUGAGAUGAUGGUCUCUUUAAGAUGCAUGAUCAACUCGAGAGAUCUUGGAAGGAGC